AGCAUUCUACACUGUUCUCUCUCCAUAUCACCCUUAAACCAUCAGUGUGUCUGACCAGUAUACUGGAAUACAUUUCUAUAACGUUAGUUAAACCAUGUCUCCCUCUUCUAGUGAUCAGGGCGAAGGUGGUUGGAAAGAAAGCGGUGUCUAACGACAUCAAGUAUGACAUCCAACAGAUCAAGCUGUUCAAAGGUUGUGACCAGGUUAUCCACGCCAUCUUCACUGACACCACUUCGUGCGGUGUGAUUCUAGAAAUCAACAAGGAGUAUCUCUUCACAGGCAAGCUGGAGACUGGAAGGAUGCAUUAAACUGUGUGGCUAUAA